GCCACCCAGACGAAUAUUACAUUACUCUGCCAGUCACUAUAUUACAGCACAGACACUCGACCAUGGCUUAUUAUUUGCAGAUAAUAAUUAAUAAAUUUUAAUAAAAAAGAAUUUUAAGACUAAGUGAAAUUGGACAAUUUCUCACGGCACGCCUGACGAUCUCUCACAACACACUAGUGUGCCACGGCACAGUGGUUGAAAAUCACUGCUCUACGGUAUGUAGACUGUAUUACAUGCGUGUUGAGCAGAGAGGAGAUAUUAUAAUAUUAUACAGUAUCUGGAAAUAUAGUGUGUGACUGCGGCUAUCUACUGUAUAUUGAGCUAUUACCUAAAGCCAAAAACCGUCAGGAAAAUGACGAACUUACAUUAGUCCUACAUUAUUUAUUAUCCCUUUGACUAUUUAUUGUGGAGUAAAUCCACAAAGCAAAAAAAAUAAAUAAAAAAUCCGCCACGUUUUCUUUUUUCAUUUUUUUUCCUCAUAUUUUUAUUAUGGAGACAGGUGAACAUCCUGUACACAGGAUCUGAGAAAUUCUCACAUUUAUGCAAAUAACAAGCGAAUAUCGUCCACCAAUCAGAUGAAUUUGUCAAGAGACGGACAAAAGAGUUUAAACAUAACUUUAACGAUAUAAAAACAAAUAAAUGAACAACCAUAGGCCGAGUUAUUUCUCUUAUUCCAUAGUUUUCACCAAAACAAGAGGAGGAUAGUGAACAAAAACAUGCUGAACAACCCUGUUGCUCAUAUGCCCCAUCCUGAAGGAGAACCUCGCGUUCAUCCAUGCAGGCCAGAGGAUAGCGGCGUCUUCCAAAGUGAGGACAACUACCUACCUGAUGGGGAGAACAUCUCUUUUCCUGGCCCUCUGUUGAGCAGUAAGAUGCAGAUGGAGGACCUGAUUCAUGUUAUCCAGCAGAAAUCCCAAGAGUAUCUCCAACAUGUGGAUAAACCUGACCAAAAGGAGGCGUAUUUCUUCUGGAGGAUCAUGGAGCUGCUCUGCAGUCAGAAUGGAGUACGUGUUGUAGUUCUUUAUGUGGUGAUUGUUUAAGUAAAAUUAUUCAUGAUUAAAGUAUCGAGUGGUUUUUAUCUGUACGAAAGCAAAA